AGUUUCCGGGCUGCGCUCCUCUGCGUGGGAAAUUUAAACCAGUAGACUUGGAGUAAAUCAGACUGUCCUCCAUAGUGUGGGUGGUCCUCACCCAAUCAGUUGAAGGCCUUAAGAGAAAAAGACCGGAGUCCCUGAGGAAGGGAGACCUCUGCCUCCAGACAGCCUUCAGCCCCGGCUGCAGCACCAGCUCUUCCCUGGAUCCAGCCUGCCAGCCUGCCGUGCAGAUUUCAGACUUGCCAACCCCACAGUCACGGGAGCCAAUUCCUUAAAAUCUCUCUCUAGGAAAGGGGUCCUUUUCACCUUGGCACUGAUGCUAUUUGGGGCCAGGUAAGACCUUGCUGCCGGGACAUAUGCUGCGCUUUGUAGGGAGCCAGGACACACGCACGCGCUUUAAUCCUCAUAGCACCCUGGAGGAAGCUUGUGUUUUUGUUACCAGUUCAUGGAUGAGCAUCUAAGUUCAGGGAGGCAGGGGUGACACUGGGAACGUCCCUGAGCUCCUGGGAUUUUCCAGACCAUGUGCACACACCCCGUCCUCACCGAGGGUCCCCUCUUCCUCCCUCUCCAGCAUCUGCUCCUCCCGGCGAAGCCCCAGAGACUGAGGCUGAGUCUCGGCUGUCCGGUCAGGCCUGCUGUCUGUUUGGCAUGAAAGCGGGCGGGAGGGCCUUGGAGCCCUGGGCAGGAUCUGCCCUGCGGACACCUCUACCUUUACUUUGUAAUCAAACCUGCUCAUAGCCUUCCUGGCUGUGACAUUGUCACUGUCACCAUUCUCACUCCUUUCGGGACCCAACAGUCCUACCAUGUUUUCAGAGUCAUGGUUCCCAGCCCUGAGCGCGGCAAUGCGCUAUGCUCAGUGUUCAUGAAACGACACAGCUCGGUCCCUCCUGUCCCCGACUUGUCCUUUCCGUCACCCCCUAGCUGCCAUCACCUUCAGCUCCUCUGUGGCCCCAGGCACUUGGUCUGGGUCCACAACGCCUCUCCCGGGAGGGGCAGGUGGGACGAGGCCGGGGCUCAGAGGUGCAGUGUCGGGGUGAGGGCACCUUCACUGCCUUGGCUGUUCCCUGGGGGUCUCGCUGGGGAGCAAUCCCACCCUCAGCCAAACACCAGCACACCCACCCCGGUGCUGCCCUGCGAUCCAGCUGGAAUUGCAGCGGAGUUGCAGCAGCACAACUGAGCUCCAGGAGCCUCAGCCCGCAGCGCCUGGUCGCCUCCCCACGUGUCUGCCCGCCACCCCACCCCCGCUGUCCGCUACUGAUAGAAGCAGCAUCUUGGGGCCCACAGGGCAGCCCGAGGGUCUCGGGAAAUGUCAGGCUGCCCUUUGAUUCUGAGAAGGGAAAUUAAAGGAGAGAGAAGGGAGCAGGGCAAGGAAGAGCCUGGCACCUUGGGUGUGGGGGGGGGGGGGGGCGCAGCAAGGCUGGGCAGCCUUGGAGCUUUGCACUCACACUGUCCCCUCCUGGGGCAGCCCGAGGUCCAGAGAGACCACCCCCUCCUCACCCGGCACUGAAGGAACCAACUAGAGAUCCCUCCACAGAAGCGAGGGGGUGGCCUCAUGGCUGGGGGGGGUCGGGUGUGUGUUUUCCACGAAGCCACCACCAUGAAAGCCCUGUUGUGGGGUCACAGAGACAUAUCUCCCCAUCAGGCAGCGCCUAAAUGAGAAAACAAGUUCCCAGGUUGGCAUCUCAGCUCUGGGCAGACUUGACCUUUUUUGCCUAAUUUCAUAACGCCAAUGAAGACCUACUGUGUGCUCUGGAUGUUCCCUCACGAUGCAGAGGGUUAAAGAUCUGGCAUUGCUGCAGCUGUGGCAAAGGCGGCAAGGUGGUGCAGAUUCAGUCCCUGGUCCGGAAACUUCCGCAUGCAGCAGGCACAGCCAAAAAAAAAAAAAAAAA
rnacentral:lncRNA from 1 species